AACGAACGCUGGCGGCAUGCCUAACACAUGCAAGUCGAACGAGACCUUCGGGUCUAGUGGCGCACGGGUGCGUAACGCGUGGGAAUCUGCCCUUGGGUUCGGAAUAACAGUUGGAAACGACUGCUAAUACCGGAUGAUGACGUAAGUCCAAAGAUUUAUCGCCCAGGGAUGAGCCCGCGUAGGAUUAGCUAGUUGGUGGGGUAAAGGCCUACCAAGGCGACGAUCCUUAGCUGGUCUGAGAGGAUGAUCAGCCACACUGGGACUGAGACACGGCCCAGACUCCUACGGGAGGCAGCAGUGGGGAAUAUUGGACAAUGGGCGAAAGCCUGAUCCAGCAAUGCCGCGUGAGUGAUGAAGGCCUUAGGGUUGUAAAGCUCUUUUACCCGGGAUGAUAAUGACAGUACAGGGAGAAUAAGCCCCGGCUAACUCCGUG
rnacentral:rRNA from 1 species